GGGGCGGAUUCCGAAAAGCCUGAUGAUAAACAGAGUAGGAA
rnacentral:ncRNA from 1 species